rnacentral:rRNA from 1 species
AGCGAACGCUGGCGGCAGGCCUAAUACAUGCAAGUCGAACGGAUCCUUCGGGAUUAGUGGCGGACGGGUGAGUAACACGUGGGAACGUGCCCUUUGGUUCGGAACAACUCAGGGAAACUUGAGCUAAUACCGGAUAAGCCCUUCGGGGAAGGAUUAUCGCCAUUGGAGCGGCCCGCCGUCUGAUUAGUCUAGUUGGGUGGGGUAAAGGGACCGUACCAACGGACGACGAUCAGUAGCUGGUCUGAGAGGANGAUCAGCCACACUGGGACUGAGACACGGCCCACGACUCCUACGGGAGGCGAGCAGUAGGGAAGUCUUGCACAAUAGGGCGGAAAGCCUGAUGCAGCGACGCCGCGUGAGGGAUGACGG